AGCGAACGCUGGCGGCAGGCUUAACACAUGCAAGUCGAGCGGGCAUCUUCGGAUGUCAGCGGCAGACGGGUGAGUAACACGUGGGAACGUACCCUUCGGUUCGGAACAACUCUGGGAAACUGGAGCUAAUACCGGAUACGCCCUUAUGGGGAAAGGUUUACUGCCGAAGGAUCGGCCCGCGUCUGAUUAGCUAGUUGGUGGGGUAACGGCCUACCAAGGCGACGAUCAGUAGCUGGUCUGAGAGGAUGAUCAGCCACACUGGGACUGAGACACGGCCCAGACUCCUACGGGAGGCAGCAGUGGGGAAUAUUGGACGAUGGGCGCAAGCCUGAUCCAGCCAUGCCGCGUGAGUGAUGAAGGCCUUAGGGUUGUAAAGCUCUUUUGUCCGGGACGAUAAUGACGGUACCGGAAGAAUAAGCCCCGGCUAACUUCGUG
rnacentral:rRNA from 1 species